rnacentral:rRNA from 1 species
GUUUAUUUGAUAGUACCUUACUACAUGGAUACCUGUGGUAAUUCUAGAGCUAAUACAUGCUAAAAACCUCGACUUCGGAAGGGGUGUAUUUAUUAGAUAAAAAACCAAUGCCCUUCGGGGCUCCUUGGUGAAUCAUAAUAACUUAACGAAUCGCAUGGCCUUGCGCCGGCGAUGGUUCAUUCAAAUUUCUGCCCUAUCAACUUUCGAUGGUAGGAUAGUGGCCUACCAUGGUGGCAACGGGUAACGGGGAAUUAGGGUUCGAUUCCGGAGAGGGAGCCUGAGAAACGGCUACCACAUCCAAGGAAGGCAGCAGGCGCGCAAAUUACCCAAUCCCGACACGGGGAGGUAGUGACAAUAAAUACUGAUACGGGGCUCUUUUGGGUCUCGUAAUUGGAAUGAGUACAAUCUAAAUCCCUUAACGAGGAACAAUUGGAGGGCAAGUCUGGUGCCAGCAGCCGCGGUAAUUCCAGCUCCAAUAGCGUAUAUUAAAGUUGUUGCAGUUAAAAAGCUCGUAGUUGAACCUUGGGUCUGGCUGGCCGGUCCGCCUCACCGCGAGUACUGGUCCGGCUGGACCUUUCCUUCUGGGGAACCUCAUGGCCUUCACUGGCUGUGGGGGGAACCAGGACUUUUACUGUGAAAAAAUUAGAGUGUUCAAAGCAGGCCUUUGCUCGAAUACAUUAGCAUGGAAUAAUAGAAUAGGACGUGCGGUUCUAUUUUGUUGGUUUCUAGGACCGCCGUAAUGAUUAAUAGGGAUAGUCGGGGGCGUCAGUAUUCAGCUGUCAGAGGYGAAAUUCUUGGA